UACGUAGGGUGCAAGCGUUGUCCGGAAUUAUUGGGCGUAAAGAGCUCGUAGGCGGCUUGUCGCGUCGGCUGUGAAAACCUAGGGCUCAACCCUGGGCCUGCAGCCGAUACGGGCAAGCUAGAAUUCGGUAGGGGAGACUGGAAUUCCAGGUGUAGCGGUGAAAUGCGCAGAUAUCAGGAGGAACACCGGUGGCGAAGGCGGGUCUCUGGGCCGAUAUUGACGCUGAGGAGCGAAAGCGUGGGGAGCGAACAGG
rnacentral:rRNA from 1 species